rnacentral:rRNA from 1 species
GAUGAACGCUGGCGGCGUGCUUAACACAUGCAAGUCGAACGAUGAAGCCCAGCUUGCUGGGUGGAUUAGUGGCGAACGGGUGAGUAACACGUGAGUAACCUGCCCUUAACUCUGGGAUAAGCCUGUUAAACUGGGUCUAAUACCGGAUAGGAGCGUCCACCGCAUGGUGGGUGUUGGAAAGAUUUAUCGGUUUUGGAUGGACUCGCGGCCUAUCAGCUUGUUGGUGAGGUAAUGGCUCACCAAGGCGACGACGGGUAGCCGGCCUGAGAGGGUGACCGGCCACACUGGGACUGAGACACGGACCAGAAUCCUACGGGAGGCAGCAGUGGGGAAUAUUGCACAAUGGGCGCAAGCCUGAUGCAGCGACGCCGCGUGAGGGAUGACGGCCUUCGGGUUGUAAACCUCUUUCAGUAGGGAAGAAGCGAAAGUGACGGUACCUGCAGAAGAAGCACCGGCUAACUACGUG